rnacentral:lncRNA from 1 species
CAAACAGAGGCCCCACACAAACAUGCAGGCACCCAGGCAACGGGCUGCAGUGAUUGCUGGAGCCUGGCACUUGCACUGGAAGGCUGUGGAGUCAACACCUGUGUGAGGUGUGAGCAGAUCAAUGAUCUUAGUCACAUCCAGACAAGAGCUGCCACGUGGUAGAGGAGAAAAAUGUGGAAAUUUGAUAAUUGAGAAUAAGGUAGGGGAAAGCAGUACCUGCCUUGAGGGAACCACUUGGUCAGUGUGUCUUCCUUGCCCUGUGCUGGUGGAGUCAAGGUGCUGCAGUUGAAUGGCUGAUGCUGGCACUUGCACAGCAUCUUAUACAUUAACCGCACUGUUGUUCUGUUACAGAUGUGAAAAAAGUGCCCUUCUGAAACUACACUAAUCGCAGCAUGCAGUAUGCAGAGUCUGACCUGGCCAGGAAAUGGGAUACCCGCUGGCCGUUUUCUGCCUACAGGAGAUACGGACACCCGUCUGGCUGCAUCACGCCACAUCGACGUACCUGCAGGUAACUGCGCGGCUUGUUCAAUCCCUGCUCAAAACGUGCCUGGCCCAGACAUGGGUGCUGUUGGGCUGACAACAUGCAAACACUCCAGUGUCAACCCAAGCCCUGUGUGCUGAUGUGAACAUCUGGAGCAACCCCUGGCUGGCUUUGCUAGAUGACAUUGCAGGGCUAUCCCGACUGUUUUCUCCUGUAAAG